rnacentral:rRNA from 1 species
UACAGAGGAUGCAAGCGUUAUCCGGAAUGAUUGGGCGUAAAGCGUCUGUAGGUGGCUUUUUAAGUCCGCCGUCAAAUCCCAGGGCUCAACUCUGGACAGGCGGUGGAAACUACCAAGCUGGAGUACGGUAGGGGCAGAGGGAAUUUCCGGUGGAGCGGUGAAAUGCGUAGAGAUCGGAAGGAACAUCAGUGGCGAAAGCGGCUUCCUGGACCAGUACCGACGUUCAGGCACGAAAGCGUGGGGAGCAAACAGG